AUUGAACGCUGGCGGCAUGCCUUACACAUGCAAGUCGAACGGUAACGGGCCUUCGGGUGCCGACGAGUGGCGAACGGGUGAGUAAUACAUCGGAACGUGCCCGAUCGUGGGGGAUAAGGGGGGGAAGGCUUGGCUAAUACCCCAUACGAUCUACGGAGGAAAGCGGGGGACGGAAGGGCCUUGGGCGGCGGGGGCGGCCGAUGGCAGAUUAGGUAGUUGGUGGGAUAAAAGCUUACCAAGCCGACGAUCUGUAGCUGGUCUGAGAGGAUGAUCAGCCACACUGGGACUGAGACACGGCCCAGACUCCUACGGGAGGCAGCAGUGGGGAAUUUUGGACAAUGGGCGCAAGCCUGAUCCAGCCAUGCCGCGUGCAGGAUGAAGGCCUUCGGGUUGUAAACUGCUUUUGUACGGAACGAAAAGCCUUCUUUUAAUACAGGAGGGUCAUGACGGUACCGUAAGAAUAAGCACCGGCUAACUACGUG
rnacentral:rRNA from 1 species